rnacentral:rRNA from 1 species
AAGAAGCGAGGCUGUGAAGCGGAGCAAAUCUCAAAAACCGGUCCCAGUUCGGAUUGUAGGCUGCAACUCGCCUACAUGAAGUCGGAGUUGCUAGUAAUCGCGGAUCAGAAUGCCGCGGUGAAUGCGUUCCCGGGUCUUGUACACACCGCCCGUCACACCAUGAGAGUCUGUAACACCCAAAGCCGGUGGGAUAACCUUUAUAGGAGUCAGCCGUCUAAGGUAGGACAGAUGAUUAGGGUGAAGUCGUAACAAGGUAAC